rnacentral:rRNA from 1 species
AGUAAUGUCUGGGAAACUGCCUGAUGGAGGGGGAUAACUACUGGAGACGGUAGCUAAUACCGCAUAACGUCUUCGGACCAAAGUGGGGGACCUUCGGGCCUCACGCCAUCGGAUGUGCCCAGAUGGGAUUAGCUAGUAGGUGGGGUAAUGGCUCACCUAGGCGACGAUCCCUAGCUGGUCUGAGAGGAUGACCAGCCACACUGGAACUGAGACACGGUCCAG